UACGGGGGGGGUAAGCGUUGUUCGGAAUUACUGGGCGUAAAGGGCUCGUAGGCGGCCAACUAAGUCGGACGUGAAAUCCCUCAGCUUAACUGGGGAACUGCGUCCGAUACUGGAUGGCUUGGAUUUGGGAGAGGGAUGCGGAAUUCCAGGUGUAGCGGUGAAAUGCGUAGAUAUCUGGAGGAACACCGGUGGCGAAGGCGGCAUCCUGGACCAAUAUUGACACUGAGGUGCGAAAGCGUGGGGAGCAAACAGG
rnacentral:rRNA from 1 species